rnacentral:rRNA from 1 species
AAAUUUAAUUUAUUAAUUUUAUUUUUAUUUAUUUUUUGUUAAGUUUUUAAAAAUAAUUUAUUUAUUUAUUGUUUUAGUAUUAAGUAAAAAUUAAUUUUAAGAUUUAUAGUUAAUUAGUAUUGUAAAAGAAUUUAUUUAAAUUAUAAAAAGAAUUUUUAAUAGUACCUUUUGUAUCAGGGUUGAUUAAAAAUUUUUAAUUAUUUUAAAUUUCUCAAAAUUUAUGGAGUUAAUUUUAUUAUAAAUUUAUUGUGGUAUAAAUAUUUAUUAAAUAAUAUUAGUUUUGAAAUUUAAUUCGUUAUAAAAUAUUUAGUUAUUUAAGAUUUAAAUUUAAUUUAAAAAUUUAAAAGUUUAAUUAUUUUAGAUAAAUAAUAUAAUUUUAAAUUUAAAUUAUUUUAGGGAUAAGCUUGAAAUUUAUAUAUAAUUUUUUUUUUUUUUAAUAAUAUAUAGGAAUAGAAAUUUUUAUUUUAAGUUUGUAAAAAUUUAUUAUUUUUAAAUAUUUUAUUUAUUAUAAAUAAAAAUUUAUUUUUAAUAUUAAAUUAUAUUAAUUAAUAAAUAAUUAAUAGUAAUAGCUACCAAGUUAGUAUAAUAUAUAAUUAUAAAUUAUGAAUUCGGCAAAUAAUAUUUUCAUCUGUUUAACAAAAACAUUGUAUUAAGUUUUAUUUAAUAUAGGAUCUGCUCAAUGAUUUUAUUAAAUAGCUGCAGUAUUUUGACUGUGCAAAGGUAGCAUAGUAAUUAGUCUUUUAAUUGGAGACUUGAAUGAAAGAUUUGAUGAAAAAUAGACUUUAUUAUUUAUAAAAUUAAAAUUUUAUUUUUAAGUAAAAAAGCUUAAAUUUUUUAAAGGGACGAUAAGACCCUAUAAAACUUUAUAGUUAUUAAUUUUUAAAUUUUUGGUUUAAUUAUAUUAUUUAUUUUAAAUUUAUAAGAUAAAAAUAUAUGAAUAUAUUUAUUUCUAUAUUAAUAAUUAUUUUAUUGGGGUGAUUAAAAAAAUUUAUAAACUUUUUUUAAAAUUUAACAUUAAUUAAUGAAAUUUUGAAUUAAAAUUUUUAAUUAAAGGAAAAAGUUACUUUAGGGAUAACAGCGUAAUUAAUUUUUUAAGUUCAAAUUUAAAAAUUAGUUUGCGACCUCGAUGUUGAAUUAAGAUUAAUCUUAGGUGCAAAAUUUUAAGUAUUAGGUCUGUUCGACCUUUAAAUUCUUACAUGAUUUGAGUUCAAACCGGUGUAAGCCAGGUUGGUUUCUAUCUUUUAUUAAGUUAAUUGUUUUAGUACGAAAGGAUUAAAUAAUUAAAUUAAAUUUUUAAUUUAUGAAUAAAAUUAAUUUA